AUGGCAAACUGUUUGUGUGGUAUGAAGUUACCGAGGAGGAGUUGGCUGUCACCUGUUUGUGUUGUUCGAAACAGUUCACUUAAAAUUUGGGUAUGGGCUUUAUGCGUACUAGUCGACAUGUAUUUGCAAAGUUCCAGCCCAGAUUUUACCUAUUUGUUGGUUGUCAAGAUAUCGUUCUGUGAUGUGAAAGUGAAGUUUUUUAGCAGAGUGAGGGUCAGUAGCAUCGUACGAUGUCGAGUAGCCUGUUCAGUGAUAUGGUUGUGUGUUAAAAGAUGCCUGCCGAUGCAGGAGAUGGUUUCCAUUUGGGAACUUACCGUUCUUUCUUUUGGGAGAGAAAGAGAUUGA
rnacentral:rRNA from 1 species